rnacentral:rRNA from 1 species
UACGGGGGGGGCAAGCGUUGUUCGGAAUUACUGGGCGUAAAGGGCUCGUAGGUGGCCAACUAAGUCAGACGUGAAAUCCCUCAGCUUAACUGGGGAACUGCGUCUGAUACUGGAUGGCUUGAGUUUGGGAGAGGGAUGCGGAAUUCCAGGUGUAGCGGUGAAGUGCGUAGAUAUCUGGAGGAACACCGGUGGCGAAGGCGGCAUCCUGGACCAACACUGACACUGAUGAGCGAAAGCCAGGGGAGCAAGCGGG